rnacentral:misc_RNA from 1 species
AGCAAUCUUGGAGGAGGGUCUUUUGCAGAAUGAAAGCAAUGGACUGUAUACAGGCGAUGGCUCAGUUGACUUCCAUGGGAAUCCUGUUCUCAAGCAAAAUACAGGAAACUGGAAAGCAUGCCCAUUCAUUCUAGGGAAUGAAGGCUGUGAGAGAUUGGCCUACUAUGGGAUUUCAACUAACCUUGUUACUUAUCUUACAAAUAAACUACAUCAAGGAAAUGUAUCAGCUGCUAGAAACGUCACUACUUGGCAAGGAACUUGUUAUCUUACACCCCUUAUUGGAGCUAUAUUGGCAGAUGCAUACUGGGGAAGAU